UAGAGCACUCUAAUGAGACCGCCGGUGACAAACCGGAGGAAGGUGGGGAUGACGUCAAGUCCUCAUGGCCCUUAUGGGUAGGGCUACACACGUCAUACAAUGGGCGGUACAGAGGGNNGCRRACCCGCGAGGGGGAGCNRAUCCCUUAAAACCGCUCGUAGUCCGGAUUGUAGUCUGCAACUCGACUGCAUGAAGUCGGAAUCGCUAGUAAUCGCGGAUCAGCUUGCCGCGGNGAAUACGUUCCC
rnacentral:rRNA from 1 species